UUUUGUGAAUGCUAAAGUAAGAAGCUAAAGAAAAUAGAUUGAAGAAGACACAUUAUAAAAAAAUCAAGUGAAAGAAGUUAAGAGCUGACUCUAAGCUUCAAAAAAUCAAUUCUAACAUGCAAAUAUUAAGCGGUACAGUCUGCAAGUCAACCCCUACUUUUGUCGAGUCGACUCCUUUGGAUAAACAGAGAGGCACACUUUCAAAUCAAAUCUUGAGUCAAUCCCUAUAUCUAUCGAGCCAACUCAUAGCCACCUC
rnacentral:lncRNA from 1 species